GAAAAGGCAAACCCUGGGUUUCCAUGUUCAACUUUGACUGUCCGUCUUAUAUAAAAUUUUUUUAUAAUUCGUAUUUUUAUUCUUGUUAAAUGAUAAAACAUGAUUAAUAUUUUAUGCGUGACUUGUCUUUUUAAUUUUUUUUAUAAUUUUUUCAAAUAAGACGGACGGUCAAACGUUGGGCACGGAAACCAGAGUUUGUCUUUUUU
rnacentral:pre_miRNA from 1 species